ACGGACAUAUCACGUUGAAACACCGGUUCUCGUACGAUCACCGAAGUUAAGCAACGUCGAGUCUGGUCAGUACCUAGAUGCCAGACGACUUGGGAAUAUCCGACGC